UGCGUAGGCGGUCGGUUAAGUCUGAUGUGAAAUCUUCGAGCUCAACUCGGAAACUGCAUCGGAUACUAGCCGGCUAGAGGAUUGGGAGGGGGGAGUGGAAUUCUCGGUGUAGCAGUGAAAUGCGUAGAUAUCGAGAGGAACACCAGUGGCGAAGGCGACUCCCUGGACAAUUCCUGACGCUGAGGCACGAAAGCUAGGGGAGCAAACA
rnacentral:rRNA from 1 species